CUGAACGCCUCUAAGUCAGAAUCCAUGCCAGAACGCGGUGAUACCACCCGCACGUAUAGAUGGACAAGAAUAGGCUUCGGCUUAGCGUCUUAGCAGGCGAUUCUUCCACGGCGCUCGAAGCGCGUCGUGGUAUUUCGCGUAUUGUAAUUUCAACACGAGCGGGGUCAAAUCCUUUGCAGACGACUUAGCUGUGCGAAACGGUCCUGUAAGCAGUAGAGUAGCCUUGUUGUUACGAUCUGCUGAGGGUAAGCCGUCCUUCGCCUCGAUUUCCCCAAUGGGUUCUCCGGAUUUCUGGAGACUUGUAGGGGUUGUGGGAUUUUUGAUGUGUCGUCUCCGGACGGGCGGUGCAGGGUAGUCGAGUUAGACUUGGUGGAAUUCCGUCGAGUCUGGUCGGCUGUGUGUUGGACGGUGCAGGGUAGGCUGCUUGGAGAUGGUCGGUUCGAGGAUCGAUUCGAGGGCCGGCCUGUCGAUGGUGUGUGAUGUAUGCGGUCUAGGGUAGGCUGGUUUGUCUUGGUUCAAUUUGAUGUCGCCUCCCGUGCAGGCCAGAGUGAGGGGGGUACAGGGUAGGCAGCUUAGAUUUGGUUGAUCUGGAGGUCGAUUCUCCGGCUGGCGGAUCUGACACUGUCGAAACGAGAUGCGAGCGGUGUAGGGUAGGCUAGUUUCGUCCUCGCCAGGUUGCGAUUUGGACGAGAUGUGUGGUUUAGGGUAGGCUCUAGGGUAAGUAGAAUUCGAGUUUCGUCGCCGACAGUUUUCUGUGGGUGUAUGGUAGGUACAGGGUAGGCAAAUCUCUCUCCGGCCAGUACUUGUCUGGUGGUCGUGAGUCGAUUUUUUUGUUUUGCCAUACUAUUGAAUUUUGCGGAAAUUCAAAAGUGGCUCGGGAGUCCCGCCUGGCGUGCGUCCGACUCGAACAUCGUCGGUGUACAUAUGAGAGGGAGUAAUCCGGCCCGGCCGGGGCCCAUCGCGAGCUGCCGGGUAGGUAAAAGUAAAAAAGUUGUUAAGAGGCGCGGUGUCGGCGUGCUUGUAUUUGCGGGAGAGAAUUAUCUGGGGGUGCUGGGUAGCCGGGAAGACUUGGACGGAUCUGGCCCGGGAAUGGGUCUGGGCCUGGAUUCUGGUGUGGUGUAGGGUAGGCUUAGAUAGAUGAGUGGUCUAGGGUAGAUACAGGGUAGCCAGACGUCUGGUAUAUAGUAUGGGGGUGUAGGGUAGGUCUGGACACCGUUUUCCACUUCGCCCUUCCCUUUUAGUCGAGGGAGGACGAUCUUGGCUGGGAGGGAGGUGUAGGGUAGGCUUAAUUUACGAUUACAUGAUCUGUGUCACUCUAGGGUAGGUGAAAAUCCCAUAUAUAUCUGAUCACAUUUGGUGGGGAGGUGGUUUGGCUGGUGAGAUGGACAAAAGUGCAAUGUAGAAUUAUAUGUGAUUUUGCAAAAGUGGGUGUGAAAUUGGAAAGUCGGUUUUCCCGCACAGAUGAGAGCACGUUUGAGGUGCCAUGAGAUGCACCUCUCCGAGGCGACCUCAACGGUACCACCCAUGUGUUGGUCGGGCUCCUGUGCGGCCGUCCAGGGCGGGAUAAGUAGAGAGUGUGGUGGUGUAGGGUAGGUGACCAGGUCCAGGGUAGGUUCGCCAAAUCCGUCAAUCCGGCUUGAAUCGAAGGACAGGUCUAGGGUAGGCCAGAGUCGGGUCUAGGGUAGGCAACCCUCACCCUCGAAGUGGUCUACCCGGUAGCCAACUUCAAUCGCCUCUCACGGCCGCCACGGACCUCGCAUGACGACGGGACUACCACCAUCGGAUUCGCCUUGGUCGAAAUAGGUGGUAUAUGCACUUUUGAAAAAAUGCGUGCAAAAUGGUUUUGUGGUUUGGUGGCCGUGAGUCGAUUUUUUUGUUUUCCCAUACAAAUGAAUUUUGCGGAAAAUAAAAAGUGGCCCACGAGGCAGUCCUGGCGUGCGGCCCACUAAAACGGUCUCGGAGGGUAUAUGAGAAGGGAGCAAAUCCGGCCGAGCCUGAAAGGGUGAGGACAAACCGGGCGAGCAACCUCUCAGUAUCAGAUCUUGCAGACUUCCACUGCGUGUCCCUCUGUACAGCUUUGCAGGCUCCGGCCUCGGCAGCGGGGGGUUCAUAGUGGUCGUCGACCUCCACGAAACUGCACGCUCCGGCGUGACAGCGUACUGGGGAUGCCUGUGUAGAUGCAGUCCGGGCUUGCCUGGACCGCUAGCAGAUGGGCUCUGUGGAUGACUGGCCGCUGGCUAGACCUGAAACCUGAGCAACGGGAGGUAACCUCUCGCCGCGGACACCGGAAUGGUAGAAGCGGCGUGCUGCGUCCUCCUCUUGGGGCCCCUAAGCCACACCUCCCAUAGCGGGUUCGGUGCGGCGGACGGACGCCCUGGGGAAUUUAGAGGGGGAAAGCGGAUUGCCCUAGCGGUGUUGUUGGCCCUGCCGACCUCACUGCGAAAGGCGCGACUUCACCGUCGCCACCCAGUAACUUGUCUCUCCGGCGCUUCACGGCGCUGGUGGCCAACCCCGGCACACGAUAGUUACCUGGUUGAUUCUGCCAGUAGUCAUAUGCUUGUCUC
rnacentral:misc_RNA from 1 species